ACUGGGAAAAAAACAUCUGGAUAAUUUUCAGCUCUCACAGCUGCUUGCAAAGCCGUGGACAUGACAGCAACAGUAUUAUAUCCUAGCACCUGGAUCAGAUGGGCCUCUAUUACCUUAGAACUGAAAGGCAUCAAAGCCCAAUUCAGAGCAGACCUAUUUGAAGGAAGACCUGCAGAACAACCUGAGAGCAAUAUAAGGCGCUCAGACGUUUUUUCUUUUCACUUCUUCUCUGAGUACUUUUACAUCAUGCCUACUUAUCACAACAGCCUACAGAAAAAGAAUAUGCUCUGCCAGCAUGCUUCACUGCUACAAGCGCACUGGAUUGUAACAUACGGUCCAAAUCAGCUGGUACCAGAAAAAAAGGGGCGCAGAGAAAAAGGCACAGAAAAUACCCACUGUGUUGUUGGGAAAAUCACUGCAAAUGAUUGUCUUGAGACUUGGAGGGGAAAAAAAGCCCACUACCACAACUAGCAGAAAUAAAAUUAUCUCCACAGAUGAGCUUCAAACCCAUGGGAUCAUCAAGGCACAGGAUGGGGGAAAGUGCGUAGGGGCAGGGGAACAGCGUGAAGUCCUCUGCUCAAUGAAGAGCAGUCAGAUGUAAUAAAUAUCAGCAGCAGCUGCGCAUGGGCAAAGCAUCCUGCCAAGGUAAAACAGGGGUUAAAGUGUGUUCUUAAUGCAGCAUGUUCUUAAUUUCUGCAAGAGCAUUGCAGACUGUGCUGUUCCACUGCUGAUAUACCUGGGCAUACAGCAGUGCUGAUUUUUCCAUUGGUGCAAAAUGAGAUCUGGUGCAACACCGAGAUACUGAUCUCCCUCAAACAGAGAAAUUCACCUUGGCUUUCUUUCCCCACUGCAGACUGGAUUUUUCAGUAGAUCCAAUUUACUAAAGUGCAUGGCAUGUAGCACACUUCCUCUGAGUUGCCAAGUUUUCUGACAAACUUUCUUGCCAACACAUAUGUGAAAGACUAAAGACUCGGCUGAAGAGAUGGGACUCAGUAUCUGAGCAAACUACUCAUUGAACUUCUGUGCAAACUAAAAGAGCCAGAAGCCAGGCUGAGGUGUAGAAUAGGCUCAGUGGGUUCUGCCACUGUCUGGAAAGGAAGAUGCUGUAUUUGCCCAUAAGGUGAUAGAAAUCUCCUCCUUGGUGUGUAAUUCUACAAGGUGGAAGGGAGGCAGAAGCCUGUUCCUCUAAUUCAUGGCAGGAAACAGCUUUCCACAUGCAUGUCCAGUUCAACAGCUAAUAACUGAAACACCGCAUAGAACAUCAGAAGUCAAAUAACCUCAAGCUGUCUCAGAGAGAAGAAAACAGCAAAGAAAAGAGAUGCGUAUUAAUUCUAGAUUGCUAUGCUAUAGGGAGAACCCAUGUUUCUUUCAUAUUCACCUUUUCUGACUGUACAUCACGAAAGGACUCUGUCUUUCAGAACAGAGUACUGAAGAGAAAACAACUCUUGAUAUUGCUUCCUUCUGAGGCCUGAAGGGAACUAUAACCCAGAGUAUCACAGACAAAAAGGAAGGAGUUAAACGGGCAUAAGCAAAGUGAGGGGUAAGGAGUGGGGAGAACCUUUCGUCCUUUAUUUACAAGGAAGAAGCACAACUUAAAUGCCCCUGCAUGGUGACAUUGACAUAGACACCAUCAAUGGAGAUACAGAGAUAUCGACGCAAAGGCAGCCCAGAGGUGUGCUACCUCUUUUUAAAUAGUUCCUUAGGAGACAGCAGAUGUGUAACAGAGGACUUGGCUCAGCUGCCUACAGUAGGAACAUUAAAUGGCUUUGCGACACAGUAAAACACACACAGAGCUAAAAGUAAGUUGGAAGACAGGAACAAAAUUUUGGGUCAGUAAAUAAGAGGGCCCCUGUGCCUGGCAGGAAGAAGGAAGCAUUAAGCUCAGCCAGGAGCUUGGAAACACCAUCAGCGAGCCCAUGCUAGAAGCAGGCUGUUUUGCAGGUGACAUUCUCUCAGUUGUGAACCUACCUGCCGAUUCUGCAAACACAUUAAUAAAAGCAGACCAAGACAAUUUAAUAAGCUCACUCCUGCUGCCAAUUCCUUUUCCUUCUUUAAAAGAAAUAACCCGUCCCUCUGGUUCCAGUCUGCUAGCCAUCUGGCAUACAGCCCAAGAGGGGCUCGGCUCUCUAGCCCUGAAAGGCAAGAGGUGAAAUCCAGUCCUCGCUUAAUACCAACAGUGUAAAGCCAAUUUAAAAGUCUUUAAAAAUCUAUCUUUGAUCGAAGGGAAGAUGUUGUUUAAUUGAAAAGUCUCCUUUCCUGGAGCAGCUGGAUUUUCCUCAAGCUGCAGCCACUUCAAAAGGAUUCCCAGUAAUGUCAGAGCUUCUUAGGUUUAAACUGUCAGCAUCGGAAGGGCUGCUACAGGCUUUCGUCUCCUGCAGGUUCCUAAAGACUUCUGGUGUAUAAAGAUCCAUUUUAAAUAAUAUAAUGCUUCAAAAAUACAGCAACAAGGGGAAAUGCUAAGAAAAAGAUUCCUUCCAAACAGAAAGUUGUAAUAGAAAGUUACGCUGAGGACUGAUUUCUUUACAGUAUGUUUUUAAUAAUAAUACUUUUAUUUCUUGUUCCUUAAUUUGCACAACAUGUAAACGGUAAUGAGGUAUCCAUUGCUGUACGCAUAUAGAAAUGUGUUCUGGAAUUUCUGCUUUCCUUCAGAUGCAUGGCAUUUAAAUGCAGAUGGAAAAUGCACUUAGGCAGGCAUUAUUAUUCAAUAAAGUGUGCCCUGUCAUGUCUCAUCAUGCUUGACUAAAACUUUGUAGCUCUGGCACAGCUGGCAUAAAAAUAGAGAUGUGCCGGUAUCUGGAUGGAGACAUAACAUCUUCUUCCAUGGAGAGAAGACAGCAGCUUCACCAACCUGAUGUCCUAUUCAAACCCCACAGGGCUUUGUCAAAAUUUCAGAGCCACCCUCUGCACCUUAACUCUAGUGACCCAAAUGAGUGAAGAUUUGCCAUUUCUGUAAACGUGGCAAUAGGCAAAUGGCUUUAAAAAUAAUUCCUCCCAUCAGACAAUGGCGAGGUCUGUUCAGAACUGAAGUAGAUGAACAGAGACUCACCUAUGUUCUCAAAGCCCUGGGCUACACAGGCUAGGACAAGAGGUUUGAGACCAUUUCUCUGUUGGACUGGGAAGAGCUGUGAUCCAUAGUGUGCAAAAUAUCAGGCAGGAUCAAUCUCCUUGUUGUCUCAGCAAUCUGUUGGAAUGACACAGACCACAUUCGGCCAACCUGAAUUCUACUGCACCUCCAUGCCUUGCCUUUCCUGCACGUUGGUUCCACGAGCCUUUCUGUUCAGCAAGUCACAUAAACUUUGCAGCUGUCCUUCCCUGGACCUGUAUCUUUAGAGGAGAACCUCAUCCUCAUGCUUCUUUGUGCUUAAAUUCCUCACUUUCACAGGGAGAGCCAUGGGACUUCAAAGGGUGCAUGUGAGGGCAAACAGGGCUGCUCAGAGACUGUGGGAAUGGAAGUCGUAAAGCGUGACACUGCUAAACACGUGACAGGGAAAUCUCCUAAAGCACAUGCACUUAUUUAAUAACAACUGAUCUUUGGGUUCCCUGUGUAUGAGUACAUGUAAGGUAUUUGCUAUCAGAUCACACAGUGUUAGUCACAGUUAGACCAGCACCUAGAGUGGCUUCUUUUCUAAAUGCUCAUAUUUGCUGUCUGUAAAUUUAGGAGUAAGGGAAAAGGGGUUUGAUUAGACAA